rnacentral:rRNA from 1 species
AGCGAACGCUGGCGGCAGGCUUAACACAUGCAAGUCGAGCGGGCACUUUCGGGUGUCAGCGGCGGACGGGUGAGUAACGCGUGGGAACGUGCCCUCUGGUUCGGAAUAACUCAGGGAAACUUGAGCUAAUACCGGAUACGCCCUUUUGGGGAAAGGCUUGCCGCCGUAGGAUCGGCUCGCGUCUGAUUGGCUAGUUGGUGAGGUAACGGCUCACCAAGGCGACGAUCAGUAGCUGGUCUGAGAGGAUGAUCAGCCACACUGGGACUGAGACACGGCCCAGACUCCUACGGGAGGCAGCAGUGGGGAAUAUUGGACAAUGGGCGCAAGCCUGAUCCAGCCAUGCCGCGUGAGUGAUGAAGGCCUUAGGGUUGUAAAGCUCUUUUAUCCGGGACGAUAAUGACGGUACCGGAGGAAUAAGCCCCGGCUAACUUCGUG